rnacentral:rRNA from 1 species
CAAUAGCAUAUAUUAAAGUUGUUGCGGUUAAAAAGCUCGUAGUCGAAUUUAUGUGUGAGUUUCACUCUUCCUUCGGGAAUUGUGGAUAUGAGCACUUUUGCCUAUACUUAAUUGUAUUUGGCAUAUUACUUUGAAGAAAUUAGAGUGUUUCAAGCAGGUUUCUGCCUUGAAUACAUUAGCAUGGAAUAAUAUGUUAGGACUUAAGUUCUCAUAUGGUCUAUGAACUUGAGUAAUGAUGAAUAGGAACAGUCGGGGGCGUUCAUACUCAACAGUCAGAGGUGAAAUUCUUGGAUUUGUUGAUGAUGAACUACUGCGAAAGCAUUCGCCAAGGAUGUUUUCAUUGAUCAAGAACGAAAGUUAGGGGAUCGAAGAUGAUCAGAUACCAU